rnacentral:rRNA from 1 species
UAAGGGGGGGUGUGGUUUAUUCGAUGCGACACGAAGAACCUCACCUGGGUUUGACAUACAAGUAGUAGGGGAGCGAAAGCCGACCGAGUCGCAAGACAGCUUGAACAGGUGCUGCAUGGCUGUCGUCAGCUCGUGCCGUGAGGUGUUGGGUUAAGUCCCACAACGAGCGCAACCCUUGUUGCCAGUUGCAAGUAUCUGGCGAGACUGCCGGCGUAUAACCGGAGGAAGGUAGGGAUGACGUCAAGUCAGCAUGGCCUUUAUAUCCAGGGCUACACACACGCUACAAUGGCCGGUACAGAGGGGAGCGAAACCGCGAGGUGGAGCCAAUCCCACAAAGCCGGUCUCAGUUCAGAUUGCAGGCUGCAACCCGCCUGCAUGAAGUCGGAGUUGCUAUA